rnacentral:rRNA from 1 species
UGGGGGAUAUUGCACAAUGGGCGAAAGCCUGAUGCAGCGACGCCGCGUGGGGGAUGAAGGCUUUCGGGUUGUAAACCUCUUUCGCUAUCGAACAAGGCCCGCUUAGGGUGGGUUGAGGGUAGGUGGAGAAGAAGCACCGGCUAACUCCGUGCCAGCAGCCGCGGUAAUACGGAGGGUGCAAGCGUUAAUCGGAAUUACUGGGCGAAAAGCGCACGCAGGCGGUUUGUUAAGUCAGAUGUGAAAUCCCCGGGCUCAACCUGGGAACUGCAUCUGAUACUGGCAAGCUUGAGUCUCGUAGAGGGGGGUAGAAUUCCAGGUGUAGCGGUGAAAUGCGUAGAGAUCUGGAGGAAUACCGGUGGCGAAGGCGGCCCCCUGGACGAAGACUGACGCUCAGGUGCGAAAGCGUGGGGAGCAAACAGG